GAAACCAACAGGGAUUGCCUCAGUAACGGCGAGUGAAGCGGCAACAGCUCAAAUUUGAUAUCUGGCCGUCAGGUCCGAGUUGUAAUUUGUAGAGGAUGUUUUGGGCACCGCGGCCGGAUAAAUUUCUUGGAACAGAAUGUCAUAGAGGGUGAGAGUCCCGUCUUGACCGGCUGUAGGACCUGUGUAAAACUCCUUCGACGAGUCGACUUGUUUGGGAAUGCAGGUCAAAAUGGGUGGUAAAUUUCAUCUAAAGCUAAAUAUUGGCCAGAGACCGAUAGCGCACAAGUAGAGUGAUCGAAAGAUGAAAAGCACUUUGAAAAGAGAGUUAAACAGUAUGUGAAAUUGUUGAAAGGGAAGCGCAGGCAACCAGACUCGAGCGCGGGGUUCCCCCUUCCUUUUGGUUGGGCUACUUCCCCGUGACCGGGCCAUCAUCAGUUUUGGGGGCGGGUUAAAGGCCUUGGGAAUGUACCUACUCCUCCGGGGGUAGACUUAUAGCCCUCGGUGUCAUGCCGCCUCCUGGGACUGAGGAACGCGCUUCGGCGAGGAUGAUGGCGUAAUGGUUGUCUGCGACCCGUCUUGAAACACGGACCAAGGAGUCUAACAUCUAUGCGAGUGUUCGGGUGUCAAACCCUUGCGCGGAAUGAAAGUGAACGGAGGUAGGAAGGCCUGUGCCUGCACUAUCGACCGAUCCUGAUGUCUUCGGAUGGAUUUGAGUAAGAGCAUAGCUGUUGGGACCCGAAAGAUGGUGAACUAUGCGUGAAUAGGGUGAAGCCAGAGGAAACUCUGGUGGAGGCUCGCAGCGGUUCUGACGUGCAAAUCGAUCGUCAAAUUUGCGUAUAGGGGGCGAAAGACUAAUCGAACCAUCUGGUAGCUGGUUCCUGCG
rnacentral:rRNA from 1 species